rnacentral:rRNA from 1 species
UACGGAGGAUCCAAGCGUUAUCCGGAUUUAUUGGGUUUAAAGGGUGCGUAGGCGGCUUUUUAAGUCAGGGGUGAAAGACGGUGGCUCAACCAUCGCAGUGCCUUUGAUACUGAAGAGCUAGAUUACACUAGAGGUAGGCGGAAUGUGACAAGUAGCGGUGAAAUGCAUAGAUAUGUCACAGAACACCGAUUGCGAAGGCACUUUACUGGGCUAUUACUAACACUCAGAGACGAAAGCUAGGGUAGCAAAUGGG